rnacentral:tRNA from 1 species
GGGGCUGGGGCUCAGUGGUAGAGCACUUGCCUAGCAUGUAUGAGGCACUGGGUUUGAUUCUCAGCACCA